AUCCUCUCAGGGUCACACCUGGAGAGUUUCCAGUAUUCGACCAGUCUUGACUACCAGAGGGAGAGUCAAGCAAAGGCAUACCCAUUCCAUUCCUAGCUUGGGCAGUGGAUAGUGAGUGGAAGGCAAUUUGCUACAAGU